rnacentral:rRNA from 1 species
UACGUAGGGUGCGAGCGUUGUCCGGAAUUACUGGGCGUAAAGAGCUCGUAGGUGGUUUGUCGCGUUUGUCCGUGAAAACUCACAGCUCAACUGUGGGCGUGCGGGCGAUACGGGCAGACUGGAGUACUGCAGGGGAGACUGGAAUUCCUGGUGUAGCGGUGGAAUGCGCAGAUAUCAGGAGGAACACCGGUGGCGAAGGCGGGUCUCGUGGGCAGUAACUGACGCUGAGGAGCGAAAGCGUGGGGAGCGAACAGG